UACGUAGGGGGCAAGCGUUGUCCGGAUUUAUUGGGCGUAAAGAGCGUGUAGGCGGCCAGAUAGGUCAGCUGUGAAAACUCGAGGCUCAACCUCGAGAUGUCGGCUGAAACCAUCUGGCUAGAGUCCGGAAGAGGAGAAUGGAAUUCCCGGUGUAGCGGUGAAAUGCGCAGAUAUCGGGAAGAACACCCGUGGCGAAGGCGGCGCUCUGGGCCGGAACUGACGCUGAGGAGCGAAAGCGUGGGUAGCAAACAGG
rnacentral:rRNA from 1 species